AUCCACCCCGAUCAGCCCUUAGAAGGCAAAGUAACCCCUAUUAAUGAAGCUAUUUCACAUCACUGUUAUCACCAAACGGAAGUAUCCAUCACUGUAAUUAAACUCAUCAUUUCUCAGUACGUGCAAAAUUACUUCUGAGCCACCUACGGGUAGGUAUGAAAACUGUAACAUUUCAGCGACCUACCUCGGCAACAUUAAAGGUGCGUCAUUUCACGUGACUUUUUAAAAUAUUUAGUGGAUUUAAAAAGUAGUUCACCAUGAAAUAGUGGCAUAAAUUAUUAGUUCGUGUUACAUCUGCCAUUACUUUGGAAUGUAAGUAAAAUAAAAUUAAAUUAAAACGAACCUUGACCAUAACCGCUGACUGCACAUAAUUUAAUUACCACUGACCUAGAAAGUAACCGCCCGCGCGCUGCGUCUCUAGAUGAGAUUCAACUGCCUCCACGCGGCGAGCGGUUGCAGCGCGCAGAAGCUCUAGGGGGGUGUGUCUGCAUCAGUCCAACUUCCAGCUGUCAAGAGAGUUGCUGCGGGCAGGAAUUGGGAAUAUUCAAAAGAGGCAACACUAGAAAUCUAUUAUUUUCACAUAAAAUUACAAAAGAAAUGUUUGCAGUUGGAUUAUGUAGCAUGCAACGCCAGUAAGCAUGUAAAGUAAACGGGAAUGUGUAAACUUUUCCACUGUAUGUGACUCAUUUUCUGAUUACAUUUCUUCUCCAUGGGACUGGCAAUGAUUUUAAAAUGUCACCUGCACUGGCAAAGGGCGAGUGAAUUCAGAAGAAAUGUUUCAUAUUUUUUCUUUAUUUGGGACUAGAAUUUUGGUUGCCCCAAGUAUGAAGCUGAUGCAGAGGUAUCGGUAAGGUCCGAAGCAGCUUGACAGUUUCUACCAACGGGGAUGUUUCCAUGACUAAUGCAGUACUUAAAAAAACAAAACAAACAAACAAAAACAAUGGAUAAGGCAGUGACGCAAUCAGCCAAACUAAAUGCAGCUGGGGUCCCUCGGAAGUCAUUGGUGCAAGGGCACAAUAAGAAUGGAACAGUGUUCUCCUGUGAGGGAUACAGGAGAUUACAGAAUCGUGAGAAAUGGCUGCUGUUACCGAAAAAAGAUGAGUUAAGGUUUCAUGGAAGAAUUUUGGGAAUUGUUGUGAACUGCAUCUUGAAAGUGAUAUGCAGUACCUGAACACAUGAAAAAUAACUGCAAUCGCAGAACUGCUUUCAAUGGGCUUUAGCUGCAUGCAGAUAUAUUUGUAUUUCCCUGAAGUAUGCCACGGAUGCAGAGUGGGCAAAAGCAGUGGGUGGCUGUGUUCAGUGAAACCUCAAAGCGUUUCCCACCCAUAUAUCAAGCACUGAUAUCAGUCAAGGCUAUUUUUUCCAGGAAGUGCUGUUUUUGCAAUAGAGGGACCCUGAGAACUUGACCACUCAUUCUCUGAGGUAUGAAGAGAAUGUUAAAGGAAACAGUGGUGUGUGAGUCAGCACACAUGAUUGAUUCAGUUUCGUUGAACACUAUGACUGUAGCUCUUACUCAUUUGGUCCUCAUAAGCCGGUAAGGAUGUAAUUCAGUGGGUAUGCUGUUAAUGCAGACACAUCUUCUGUUAAGCCCUAUAAUCCCACAGGGCAAUGAAACCUUUCCUUUCAGCAAAGUUGCCUACAUUUUAUAGGCCUUUGACCUUUGGGGCUGCUGAAAUCAGGAUCAGUGAAUUACAGACAGCUGUCAGAGGAAACAGCCUGUUGCAGAAGGCAGAAGAUGACGUUAUACAGAGUGACAAAUUGACUGUGAAACCUUCUACGCUGUGCUUCUUGGGAAUAUUCUCCAACGCAGACCAUGAGAGGGAAACUGAAAAGAACAGCAGGAAUGACGGCUUGAAUUCCAUUAAUACUCGUGCACAUUCCAAAGAACUACUGAUUUUGAAAACAGCAGCCAAGAGGAAUUUCUGCCUCCCAAAAUGUCUGUAUCCACUGAUGUUUCAGAUGUGAGCAUUAAGAUGUUAACAUUACUAGUAUUUAUUGUGACUAAACACCACUCGGCUGCAAGAAAAUGCCGUCAUGCCAAGGAGUUCAAGUGGACCAAAAAACAAUAAACUUUUAUAGAGGCUUCUCACUGCCUAUUCUGAACUAAAAUUGAAUUGAAAUACUAUCAGUCUUGCAGGUCAGCUUCUAAGAAUAGACUUGUUAAAGAAUGUUUUAGUGAUGUGGUUUGUUAAAAGAUGUUUUUGUGAUGUGGUUUGACUGGAGUUUGUGUUGCAAUUACAUUUGCAGAAAGAUAUGUUUCAGUUCAAAAGUUUAAAGUUGCAUUAUAGGAAUAAAUCAUUGUGUUAAUAUGAUUAUACCACCGUAUUUUAAAACAUAUAACUCCGUUGUAAAUAUGUAUUCAAAUUAAUAUUGCAUUAUGAGUUGGUGAGAAAGGUUUGUGAAUGUGUAGUAGUAAACUACAUAACACGCAGAAUGUAAAGUACUGAUGUGAAACAUGUUGCAACAUCUCCAAAAAUUACAAGGUUUAUUAAAAAUAACAAUUACCGUUCCA